AGUGAACGCUGGCGGUAGGCCUAACACAUGCAAGUCGAACGGCAGCACAGUAAGAGCUUGCUCUUACGGGUGGCGAGUGGCGGACGGGUGAGGAAUACAUCGGACUCUACUUUUUCGUGGGGGAUAACGUAGGGAGACUUACGCUAAUACCGCAUACGACCUACGGGUGAGAGCAGGGGAUCUUCGGACCUUGCGCGAUUGAAUGAGCCGAUGUCGGAUUAGCUAGUUGGCGGGGUAAUGGCCCACCAAGGCGACGAUCCGUAGCUGGUGUGAGAGGAUGGUCGGCCACACGGGAACUGAGACACGGUCCAGACGACUAAGGGAGGCAGCAGUGGGGAAUAUGGGACAAUAGGCGCAAGCCUGAUACAGCCAUACCGCGUGGGUGAAGAAGGCCUUCGGGUUGUAAAGCCCUUUUGUUGGGAAAGAAAAGCAGCAGGUUAAGACCCCGCUGUUCUGACGGUACCCAAAGAAUAAGCACCGGCUAACUUCGUG
rnacentral:rRNA from 1 species